GGCGCUUUGGCGGAGUGGUUAACGCGAUGCCCUGCUAUAUCUUUAAUAUAACGGAAGGCAUUUCCUUCGGGAGCGCAGGUUCGAAUCCUGCAGGCGUCG